UCGUCGGCGAUCUGCGGGCAGAUGAAGUGGACGUGCGCGUCGACCCCGCCCGCCGUGACGAUCCGCCCGUUGCCCGCGAUGAUCUCGGUCUCGGGCCCGAUGACGAGGUCCGGGUGGACGCCGUCCAUGGUGUCGGGGUUGCCCGCCUUGCCGAUCCCGGUGAUCCGCCCGUCGCGGAUGCCGAUGUCGGCCUUGACGAUCCCCCAGUGGUCCACGAUGACCGCGCCCGUGAUGACCGUGUCCGGCGUGCCGUCUGCGCGCGUAGCACGCGCCUGCCCCAUGGACUCCCGGAUGA
rfam:Streptomyces acidiscabies strain NCPPB 4445 genomic scaffold scf_64481_65.1, whole genome shotgun sequence.